UAGAUUGAAGCCAGUUGUUUAGGGUUUUUAGCUGUUAACUAAUGUUUCAUGGGUUUGAAUCCCAUCAAUCUAG
rnacentral:tRNA from 4 species